rnacentral:rRNA from 1 species
AAAAGAAACCAACAGGGAUUGCCUUAGUAACGGCGAGUGAAGCGGCAAAAGCUCAAAUUUGAAAUCUGACAUCCUUGGUGUCCGAAUUGUACUUUGGAGAGGCAUCUUCUGGAGGGGCCCAGCCUAUGUGCCUUGGAACAGGACGUCAUAGAGGGUGAGAAUCCCGUCCUUGGCUGGAUGUUCCCUCCUGUAUGUAGUGUCUUCUACGAGUCGAGUUGUUUGGGAAUGCAGCUCAAAAUGGGUGGUAAAUUUCAUCUAAAGCUAAAUAUUGGCGAGAGACCGAUAGCGCACAAGUAGAGUGAUCGAAAGAUGAAAAGCACUUUGAAAAUAGAGUCAAAUAGUACGUGAAAUUGUUGAAAGGGAAGCGCUUGAGAUCAGAGCCCGCCUUUGGCAAACAACUGUCCUUUUGGGUGGUGCACUUGUCAUUUGGUAGGGUCAGCAUCGGUUGGGACGGCAGGAUAAAGGCCCAGGGAAUGUGACUCCUCUAUGGAGUGUUAUAGCCCCAGGCGGCAUGCUGUCAGCCUCGACCGUGGACCGCGCUUUGGCUCGGAUGCUGGCGUAAUGGUCUUCAGCGAC